UACGUAGGGUGCGAGCGUUAAUCGGAAUUACUGGGCGUAAAGCGUGCGCAGGCGGUUCGUUAAGUCAGAUGUGAAAGCCCCGGGCUCAACCUGGGAACUGCAUUUGAAACUGGCGGACUUGAGUAUGGCAGAGGGGGGUGGAAUUCCGCGUGUAGCAGUGAAAUGCGUAGAGAUGCGGAGGAACACCGAUGGCGAAGGCAGCCCCCUGGGCCAAUACUGACGCUCAGGCACGAAAGCGUGGGGAGCAAACAGG
rnacentral:rRNA from 1 species